rnacentral:rRNA from 1 species
UACGUAGGUGGCAAGCGUUGUCCGGAUUUACUGGGUGUAAAGGGCGUGCAGCCGGAGAGACAAGUCAGAUGUGAAAUCCACAGGCUCAACCUGUGAACUGCAUUUGAAACUGUUUCCCUUGAGUAUCGGAGAGGUCAUCGGAAUUCCUAGUGUAGCGGUGAAAUGCUUAGAUAUAACUUAGAACUCCGAUAGCGAAGGCAGCUUACCAGACUGCGACUGACGCUGAAGCACGAGAGCGUGGGUAGCGAACAGG